rnacentral:rRNA from 1 species
AGAGUUUGAUCCUGGCUCAGGAUGAACGCUAGCGACAGGCUUAACACAUGCAAGUCGAGGGGCAGCGGGGCGGCAGGCUUGCCUGCCGUUGCCGGCGACCGGCGCACGGGUGAGUAACACGUAUGCAACCUGCCCGUGGCAGGGGGAUAAGCGGGGGAAACCCCGUCUAAUACCGCGUAACGCGGCCUAGGGACAUCCCAAGGCCGCCAAAGGGAGCAAUCCCGGCCACGGAUGGGCAUGCGGCGCAUUAGCUAGUCGGCGGGGUAACGGCCCACCGAGGCGACGAUGCGUAGGGGUUCUGAGAGGAAGGCCCCCCACACUGGUACUGAGACACGGACCAGACUCCUACGGGAGGCAGCAGUGAGGAAUAUUGGUCAAUGGGCGCGAGCCUGAACCAGCCAAGUCGCGUGAGGGAGGACGGCCCUACGGGUUGUAAACCUCUUUUGCCGGGGAGCAACGGGCGUCACGUGUGGCGCCACUGAGAGUACCCGGAGAAAAAGCAUCGGCUAACUCCGUGCCAGCAGCCGCGGUAAUACGGAGGAUGCGAGCGUUAUCCGGAUUUAUUGGGUUUAAAGGGUGCGUAGGCGGAUCGUUAAGUCAGUGGUCAAAUUGAGGGGCUCAACCCCUUCCCGCCAUUGAAACUGGCGUUCUUGAGUGGAAGAGAAGUAUGCGGAAUGCGUGGUGUAGCGGUGAAAUGCAUAGAUAUCACGCAGAACCCCGAUUGCGAAGGCAGCAUGCCGGCUUCCUACUGACGCUGAAGCACGAAAGCGUGGGGAUCGAACAGGAUUAGAUACCCUGGUAGUCCACGCGGUAAACGAUGAGCGCUAGGUGUCCGGGGGGAAUGGCCCCUGGGCGCCACAGCGAAAGCGUUUAGCGCUGCAGAUGGGGAGUACGCGGGCAACGAUGAAACUUAAAGGAAUUGCCGGGGGCCCGCACAAGAGUAGGAACAUGUGGUUUAAUUUGAUGAUAUGCGAGGAACGUUACCCGGGAUCAAACGAUGCAGGAAGUGUGUGUGAAAGGAUGCGCCGUCACAGGACAUGCGACGAGGUGCUGCAUGGAAGUCGUCAGCUAGCGGCGGGAGGGUUCUGCUUAAGUGGCAUAACGAGGGCAACCCUCAUGGACAGUGGCUAACAGGUAGAGCCGAGGACUCUGUUGAGAGUGCGGUCGCAAUCUGAGAGGAAGGGGGGGAGGCCGUCAAAUCAGCACGGCCCUGAUGUUCGGGGUGACAGACGGGUUACAAUGGCCGUACAAAGGGAUGCGCAGGGCGAGAGCCGGAGGGGAACCCUAAAACCGGUGUCAGUUGGAAGUGGAGUGUGCAACCUGAGUCCAAGAAGAUGGAUUUUCUAGUAAUUGUGCAUCAGCCACGGGGAGGUGAAAAAGU